rnacentral:rRNA from 1 species
AUGGCGGGCGGUGACCGGGAGAGGGAUGUCGAGGAGGAGACGCGCAACCAGAUGAUGCAGAACCUCUUCGGCGACCAGUCUGAGGACGAAGAGGAGGACGACCCCAUCGAGGUCGCCGACGAUGACGACCAGGGGCCGCCACAGCAGAUGCAGCGCCAUCGCCAAGUUCUGGACCAAGAGGAGGACGAGGAGGAAGAAGACGAGGGACGCAGCCACGGCCCUUCCCACGACGCCUACCACUCGGAAGAAGGGGAGGGUGAGGCAGAGAAUGGAGGGGAAGGAGAAGCGGAAGGAGAAGGUGAGAGUGAGGGCCAACUUGGAAUGGAAGAGGAAAGUGAAACAGAGGCCCAUCCUGCUGAUCUUGAUCAAGGAGAAAGUGACCCGGAAAAGGUUCAGAGCUCACCAGAAAGAGAACUGAGUGAUGGGGUGAUGCAAACUGACGCAAGAGGCAUGGACAGUGAAGAAGAUGGCUACGAGCAGCAGGCGGUUCCCAGUAGAAGAAGGGAAGUUGUUGCCUCUGAAUCUGAGGGGUCUGAAGAUAAUUAUUAUGCUGGUCAAGCUCCUGAAGAUGAGGAAGCUCCUCAAAGGAAACCAAGAUCCUUCCCAAUGGAGGAAGAGAGAGAUCAUGAAGUUGUCCGUGAUGUGUUUGGUGAUAGCGAUGAAGAUGAACCUGCUCCUUAUCAUGCCCCGCAUGAAAUUGACGAAGAUUCCAAUCCCAUGGAGGAUGAAUUGCAAUAUGAGAAAGACUUGCAGCCAGAUGAUGUCGUGGCUGAUGAUGAUAUACGAUAUGAUUCAGAUGACAACCGCGAGCCAAAAACAAAAGAGAAGCCAGUUGGUCCACCGUUGAACUUGGUGGUUCCACGUCAGCAGCCACCAGCUCGACCGGACAGAAUGAACGUGAUCAAGGUAUCAAACAUAAUGGGGAUUGAUCCGAGGCCUUUUGAUCCCAAAACAUAUGUGGAAGAAGAUGUUUACGUUACAGAUGAAUCUGGGACCAAGAAAAAAAUACGACUGGAGGACAAUAUUGUGCGGUGGAGAACUGUCAAGAAUGCUGAUGGCACUACAUCAGUUGAAAGUAAUGCACGCUUUGUCAAAUGGAAAGAUGGAACCAUGCAGCUGCUGAUUGGUAAUGAAGUUCUUGAUAUAUCCGUACAUGAAGCAAAUCAUGAUCAGUCCCAUCUGUUUCUGAGGAGUGGGAAGGGAGUUCUACAAUCACAAGGAAGACUUCUACAGAAAAUGAGAUUUAUGCCAUCUUCCUUGUCUUCAAAGUCACAUCGUUUAUUAACCGCUCUUGUUGAUUCCCAGAACAAGAAAACUGUUAAGAUGCAAAAGUGGUAUGAUGCUAAGGAUCCUGAGAGAGUGAAGCAGGAAAAAGAAAGGGCUGAGGGCCAAAGUAUUAGAGCUCAUUCAAUUCUUCAACGCAAACGAGAAAAGGUGAACCGCAAAUACACACAACCUGCCAGGCAAAGAAGGCAGCUUUCUCCAGGGUUUUUGGAAGAUGCAUUAGAUGAGGAUGAGGAGACUGACAACCACUACAGCUCUCGGCGAAUGGCAUCUCGUGGUCAUUUUGAGGAUGACUUGGAGGCUGAAGCACUAGGUGAAAGGCGUAUAAUUAACGCAAAGAAGUCGAAUAUGAGCAGAGGUGUUCCUCGCAAACCGUCCUUCCCUCCUUCUCGCCCGGCGAGACGCCAGGAGUACUCUGAGAGUGAAAGGGAGGAGUCAGAGUAUGAAACUUUAGGCGAGGACAUUGAGCACUCUCCCACCGGUGGAAGGGAAGAGCUGGAUGAGGAGGAUGAAUAUGAGGAAGACCCGGAGCCUAUGUCAGAUGAAGGAAUCCAGGAACCAAAGCGGAAGAGAGAGUCAGCAGUGGGUGGGAGCCAAAGGCGCAGGGAGGUGGACUCGGACGAGGAUUCCCCGCCGAGGAAACAGCCUGCGACUGUUCAUCGCCGGAAGGGCGUUGUUUUUGAAAGCGACGACGAAGAUGAGUGA